rnacentral:rRNA from 1 species
GAACGCUGGCGGCAGCCUAAACAUGCAAGUCGAACGGUAACAGGAUUAGCUUGCUAAUCGCUGACGAGUGGCGGACGGGUGAGUAAUGCUUGGGAACUUGCCUUUGCGAGGGGGAUAACAGUUGGAAACGACUGCUAAUACCGCAUAAUGUCUACGGACCAAACGGGGCUUCGGCUCCGGCGCAAAGAGAGGCCCAAGUGAGAUUAGCUAGUUGGUAAGGUAAAGGCUUACCAAGGCAACGAUCUCUAGCUGUUCUGAGAGGAAGAUCAGCCACACUGGAACUGAGACACGGUCCAGACUCCUACGGGAGGCAGCAGUGGGGGAUAUUGCACAAUGGGGGAAACCCUGAUGCAGCCAUGCCGCGUGUGUGAAGAAGGCCUUCGGGUUGUAAAGCACUUUCAGUUGUGAGGAAAAGUUAGUAGUUAAUACCUGCUAGCCGUGACGUUAACAACAGAAGAAGCACCGGCUAACUCCGUGCCAGCAGCCGCGGUAAUACGGAGGGUGCGAGCGUNAAUCGGAAUUACUGGGCGUAAAGCGCACGCAGGCGGUUUGUUAAGCUAGAUGCGAAAGCCCCGGGCUC